rnacentral:rRNA from 2 species
AGAGUUUGAUCCUGGCUCAGAACGAACGCUGGCGGCGUGCUUAACACAUGCAAGUCGAACGUGAUCCAGAGCUUGCUCUGGUGAAAGUGGCACACGGGUGAGUAACGCGUGGAUAACCUGCCCUGGUAUCUGGGAUAACAUCUCGAAGGGGGUGCUAAUACCGGAUAAGCCUACGGGAUCUUCGGAUUCUGCAGGAAAAGGAGGCCUCUAUUUAUAAGCUUCCGUAUCAUGAUGGGUCCGCGUACCAUUAGCUAGUUGGUGGGGUAAUGGCCUACCAAGGCGACGAUGGUUAGCUGGUCUGAGAGGAUGAUCAGCCACACUGGAACUGAGACACGGUCCAGACUCCUACGGGAGGCAGCAGUGGGGAAUUUUGCACAAUGGGGGAAACCCUGACGCAGCAACGCCGCGUGAGUGAUGAAGGCUUUCGGGUCGUAAAGCUCUGUCAGAGGGGAAGAAAUGAAACGUGCUAAUAUCACGUUUUCUUGACGGUACCCUCAAAGGAAGCACCGGCUAACUCCGUGCCAGCAGCCGCGGUAAUAC